UUUAUUUCACUUUUUUUUUCUAACUUUACCAAUUUCAUCUGAGCCCUAGUCUCUCUUUAGCGUCCCUAAUUAUCUCCAUCUCUAUUCUCGGUCUCAACUCUGAACUUACCCCCCCUCCUCUCUCUCUCUGCAACUCCCCAAUCGCCUCUAUCUAUAUCUCUGUAACUCCCCAAUCGCCUCCAUCUCUAUUCUCGGUCUCAACUCUGAACUUGCGCCCCCCCUCUCUCUCUGUAACUCCUCAAUCGUGAUAACACGUGCCCCUCCUCCUCAACCACCCCUCUCUCAGCAACUCUGCCUCCAAUCUCUCUGUCACUUCCCUCACUUUCUCUCUCUACGUACCUAUACCAUACCAGUCUUGAUUGAUCAGAAUGGUGAAGCUUGCAUCGGCCCGACAGAGUCGAAUAUACGGACCCCAGCUGGCUCGAGACCGGUCCAAGUACAUGAACGCCGGCCUAUAUGUGUUCGCCACCAUUGUUCUUCUCUGUGGCUCGGGUUUGGUUCUUCUACUCAUAGGCUUAGCUCUCAUAAUCUUUGUGAACGUUCACGAUCUCCUUGCUCAUCUCGCUGGCAUCGAUUACCGGUUGCCGUUGAUGGAAUUCGACGUCCAGCUUGGCCUCGUCGAGUUCGCCGUCCCAAUGGUUCAGAUUACAACUACACUUCUCUAUUUCUUAGGGAUUCUUUUUUUUUUUUCAUUCAGGUAUCCGCUGGGGUUUCUCUAUCCAAUCUCUCGCCUGAUCAGCUAUUCUGUGUUCGAGAAGGUUUGGAGUAGAAAAUAAAAGAGGGUCUGUACAUGAUGGGUCUAAAAGAUGAGAUAUUCUAUUUUUCUUGGUUUAUUACAUACGCUUUGCAGGUAAUUUUUGCAUUCUUGCUGUUAAAAUGAGUUAGUAGUAGCAUACCUUUUUUUGUAUGACCAAUGUUUAAGGUGGAGUGUUUUUUUUUUUUUUUUUUUUUUUUUUUUUUUUUUUUUUUCUGUAAUUCUGUUUUUGUUUUCUGUUAUUCUAAUUUUCAGUUUGGUUUAUGGAUAAGGAAUGUUAUAUAACUUUUUGGGUUUUCUGAACUGUUAUAUUGCCAUAGAAGUAAGGCAUCUUCUGCAAAUACUUACACUUGAAGUUGCUCUGCUAGGAAGGGCAUAAAGCCUGUUUUACAUGUCCUAAGUUGAUGAGGACCUGGUUUUGGACAUGUUUAUAGGACUUUUUUACUUUCUUGGCCUUGGUAUGGGUGGUGGACUUAUACGUAAUGUUACGGAGGGAUCUAGGUUGAUAAGUGUGUCGAUGUCAAGAUAAUUUGGCGUGGACAUGCUCCUCUUAGACUAGUAGACCUGGAUUAUGAAGAAUAUUCUGUCCAAUUUGUCUUUUUGGGGUGGACUGGAUUGUUCAGCUGGCUUGGACAAGAUUGUGGUCACUAGAUGUGCUGAUGACACUGUAAUAUGAUGCCACAAUAAAUAUAUAUGGAAAGUUUGAACUGAACAUAUUACUAUUGGAAUUAUAUAGAAAUAAUUUUGUUCAUAACAUGAUUUCAAAUUUCAAAGGUUGAUCCUAAAACUAAUUGGAAGUGAUUAGUAUUUGAAUUUUAUUUGAGUGAUUACAUUGAUUUCGCAUUCAUUGAGUGUCAGAUCAAUUACGUGAAGCUUGUAGUAGUAGUUGACAGAAGGAUUUAGGUGUUAAGACUCAUCUUAAAUUUCUAAACUUCCCAUAGGAGAUUGUCGCAUUAUCAUGGAGCUGGAGUAUAAUAAGGCUACAAAUGAAAAAAUCUGAUUAUGAAUAGUUCGAUUAAUCAGGUUUGGCUAAGCUAACAGGAUCAUUCAAGUUCGUCGUAAAACAAUAUUGUAUUGCGCAAUUGGCCUUUACCUAGAUAAGGUAUGUCAUUCAAACUUUUUGUUUUUCUUUGAAGGUUGUCGACUGACCAUGAAUUGCUGUUUACUUUUUAAUUGAGUAUCCGAUUGUCUAAGUUACGUGCAUAAUAGAUCUACUCUAUAUUGUAUUCACUAAGUUGAUAAGUCUCUUAGUGAGCAUUCAUUUUUUUGGUCAAAUAUACUUUCAUUGAAAUCAUUUUGAAUUGUCCAAUGACAAGAUUUUCUGUGUGGACAUUUAACAUCCAUUAUAGGCAAUCAACUACUAAUAACUUACUAAUUGACAUUAUUUUAUCCUAUGCUUUUCUUAAAAUCACUUAAGAUUUUAUUUACUUUUGUAUGUAGUUUUCUAUUUUGACAGUUCUUUGUAUAUGAUAGAAAGUUACUAGAAAUUUUUCUAUGACUAGGUCUUCUCUAAAGAGAAUGGAGUGCAGCACAAAUGGAACUUCAUAUUUCAAAAGUGGUUUUGGAGAAAAAAAAUUUAGUGGAAAAAAGGAUGCUUCCGGCUCAGAAGUCAAAAUAAAUCAUAAGCAUUCCAAUGAAGAUGUGUCCACACCCCUUUUCUCAACCCGCAUUAUGUGCAUUUUCCUUGUUUCUGUUUCUGUUUCUUACCUUUCUUGUUCUUACAUUAAGUUAGUUGGUUGCUCCUGCUUGAUUAAUUGUUAAGCUAAAGAUGUGAAUGCAGACCUCUAACUUCUCAUCACAGUGAUGCAUUAGCUACGCAAGCAUAGCACUGAUUGUCUAUAAGGUAGCAGUAGUGUUGGACAUUUGUCAUGAAGCUCUCCAUUAUUGAUAUGAGUAGUUGAGUACUCUGGUUUUUGGUCCAUGUUAAAAUGACUCUGGUUCUUCUUGUAUGGUAAAUUUGUUACAUUUCAACUAUAAAUCUAUCCAGCAUUAUUUGAUCAAUAUGUUAAGGCAUAUUUGGCUAGAUCAUGCUUUUCUUCCCUUUUUAUUGGUUGAUUCAAAUUCCUUUCUCAUCUUUCUUCUUAUUUCUUCUGACAAGUGGAGGUUUCAAAAUGGUUUAUAUGGAUUGUCCCCAUUUCUAUGGCAUUCAUUUGUACUCAUUAUAGCAAUUGCAGAAUGCAUAAGCUAAUCUUAUUGGUGUUGGUUUUGAUGGUCGCGUCAUAUUAUAGUCGAAUUCAUUUAUCUAUCUCUCUUUUUUUAAUGCUUGAUAUCUUGUUUAGACGGACUCUUUUUCGAUUUUGUAAUUAUUGUUAUUUCUUCAGGAUGAGACAAGAAAAGGAUUGGGGGUGUGCCCUCAGAAUGAUAUUCUUUUUCCGGAGUUAAUUGGUAAUUCAAAUCAAAUGGGCAAGAAGAGUUGUUGAAGUUGAAGCUGAAGAUGGGGUUGUGGCUGUGCUUUCUGCAUUUCCUUCACCUUGGAUGGGUUCUUUUUGAAAAACUUGUACUAUAUUUGGCAAAAAUUCUUAAUUCUUUUUGUGUGACAUUUAGUAGAUCUAGACAAUUUGGAUGGUAUUUUCAUAUUGGCAGGUUAACUUAUGGUUGUAUUAGUAGACAUUUUGGCUUUUUGGUUGACAUUUUUUUGGUUUUGGUUGACAUUUACCAGCUUUAUCUAUCAGUAGACAAUUUCGAUGGUA